ensembl:lncRNA
CUCCCCCUUCCGUGUAUAAAAGGAGCCCCGAAUUAGGGCUGAGAGGGGAUAUUUUUUGGGGACCCUAGUCUGCCAUCUUCUGGGUCUGCUAGCUUUCCAAUUACAAUCGUUAUUCCUUGUUCAAAUAUCGUCUCCCAAUUUCCUGACCUGUCGUGAGGUGACUGGAACAAGCUUGGGCUCAAUAACAAUUCUAAGUGGACUGUGAUACAAAAAGCAGAGUGCAUUUUAGAACCGUAUUGUGAUAUCAUCUCAUUUUUCAAGCUGAAGAAACACAUGAAACUUUCCGUUUCCCUGAGCCUACCUCCCUCACACACAUCUUCUAUGGAAACGUGGUUGUCCCUUGGUAUCCAUGGGGUAUUGAUUCCAGGACCUGGACACCGAGGUCCAUGGAUUCUCAUGUCCCUUCUAUAAAAGGAGACAGUUGGCUCCAUAUCCACGGACUCCUCACACACCGUUAGACUUGCUCUCUGGUUGGCUGAACGCCCGAAUGUGCCUGGAGGAUGUGGAGUUGUUGUUGCUUAGUUGCUCAGUCCUGACUCUUUGAGACCCCAUGCCUACCAGGCUCCUCUGUCCAUGGGAUUUCACAGAUGAGGAAAACUGAUGCCUAGAAAUUUGAAGUGACCUUCAGACUCACCCAACCUGCAAGAGGUGGCUGUGGCAUCAAACCUCCGUGUCUUUGCCCUCACAGCCUGAACUCUUAAGUGCUGCACUUUGUUGCAAGAAUAAUUGCAGCUUACAAGGUGCGCUGGAAGUCUUGGAAUUUGACACCUACACAAUCUGACAUUUACGACUUGGAAGAGGAGGCCUGGAGUGGGUGAUCUGACUUCCAAUGAGCCUUUCAGUAAAUCUUGAGUGGGCUCUUACCAUGUACCAAGCAUCAUGCUAGGUUUGCAGAUACACAUGGACGAGGCAGCAGUGGCAGCCACCCCUCCAUGGAGCCUGCAGUCCAGGGACCAGCCAGAGGAGGAUCAUUCAUUGCCAUUGAGAGAGGUGCCCUCAGUGUAAGUGUUCAGGAGUUAAGUGUAAGCAAGCAAAUAGCGAUGAUCAUACUAAGUGAAGUAAGUCAGGAAGAGAAAGACAAAUACCAUAUGAUAUCACUUGUGAAAGUGAAAGUCGCUCAGUUGUGUCUGACUCUUUGCGACCCCAUAGACUAUGCAGUCCAUGGAAUUCUCCAGGCCAGAAUACUGGAGUGGAUAGCCCUUUCCUUCUCCAGGGGAUCUUCCCAACGCAUGGAUCGAACCCAGGUCUCUCGCGUCGCAGGCAGAUUCUUACCUGCUGAGCCACAAGGGAAGCGCCUAAGAAUACUGGAGAGGAUAGCCAACCCUUCUCUAGUGGAUCUUCCCGACCCAGGAAUAGAACCAGGGUCUCCUGCAUUGCAGGCAGAUUCUUUACUAACUUCAAGGGAAGCCCUGUUAUCACUUGUAUGUGGAAUCUAAAAUAUGACACAAACGAACCUAUCUAUGAAACAGAAACAGAAUCACAGGCAUAGAGAACAGACCUGUGGUUGCCAAGGGGUG